GAUGAACGCUGACAGAAUGCUUAACACAUGCAAGUCAACUUGAAUUUGGGUUUUUAACUUAGGUUUGGGUGGCGGACGGGUGAGUAACGCGUAAAGAACUUGCCUCACAGCUAGGGACAACAUUUGGAAACGAAUGCUAAUACCUAAUAUUAUGAUAAUAGGGCAUCCUAUAAUUAUGAAAGCUAUAAGCGCUGUGAGAGAGCUUUGCGUCCCAUUAGCUAGUUGGAGAGGUAACGGCUCACCAAGGCGAUGAUGGGUAGCCGGCCUGAGAGGGUGAUCGGCCACAAGGGGACUGAGACACGGCCCUUACUCCUACGGGAGGCAGCAGUGGGGAAUAUUGGACAAUGGACCGAGGGUCUGAUCCAGCAAUUCUGUGUGCACGAUGAAGUUUUUAGGAAUGUAAAGUGCUUUCAGUUGGGAAGAAACAAAUGACGGUACCAACAAAAGAAGAGACGGCUAAAUACGUG
rnacentral:rRNA from 1 species